rnacentral:rRNA from 1 species
UACGUAGGGGGCAAGCGUUGUCCGGAUUUAUUGGGCGUAAAGAGCGUGUAGGCGGCCAUACAGGUCCGUUGUGAAAACUCGAGGCUCAACCUCGAGACGUCGAUGGAAACCGUAUGGCUAGAGUCCGGAAGAGGAGAGUGGAAUUCCUGGUGUAGCGGUGAAAUGCGCAGAUAUCAGGAAGAACACCUAUGGCGAAGGCAGCUCUCUGGGACGGUACUGACGCUGAGACGCGAAAGCGUGGGGAGCAAACAGG